rnacentral:rRNA from 1 species
UGAAACUGCGAAUGGCUCAUUAAAUCAGUCAUAGUUUAUUUGAUGGUACCCUACUACAUGGAUAACUGUGGUAAUUCUAGAGCUAAUACAUGCCGAAAAAUCUCGACUUCUGGAAGAGAUGUAUUUAUUAGAUCCAAAGCCAGCGGCCUUCGGGUCUCCUUGGUGAAUCAUGAUAACUGCUCGAAUCGCAUGGCCUUGCGCCGGCGAUGCUUCAUUCAAAUAUCUGCCCUAUCAACUUUCGAUGGUAGGAUAGAGGCCCACCAUGGUGAUGACGGGUAACGGGGAAUAAGGGUUCGAUUCCGGAGAGAGGGCCUGAGAAACGGCCCUCAGGUCUAAGGACACGCAGCAGGCGCGCAAAUUAUCCCCUGGCAACACUUUGCCGAGAUAGUGACAAUAAAUAACA